GUGAUGGUUUCAUUAGUGAGCACAUAAAUGAUGGGGUUUAUCCUAGUGAAGAAAAUAUUUCAUUUGAAGAAACUAUGGAUAUACUUGAAAUGGACACGAAUGAAGAAGAAACAAGUAGAAGACAAAUUAAUUCUACGAAUAACAAUAACAUCACUGAAAAUGUCAAUAAGGAAGCAGAUAUAUCAAAACAGUAAAAUCCUGUAGAAGAAAAUCCUGAUGAAAGAAUUUGUGAUGAUGAAGCUGUUGAUUGCGAUCCAUUGGCAAGUGCCAGCCACUAUUAUAGAGCUUUAUACGAGCGCCAGUUUGGUACAGAUCUUACAAAUGAAAUUAACCCAAAUUACAAUCCAUGUACUUCACAAAAUCAAUUUGUAAACGAGGGACUAAUGGAAUAUUUGAAGGAAAAACAGCUAGAAUUAUAUCCCUUAGAGUUAUUUGGUGGAGACUCCGAAAAUGUAUUUACACCUGUAGUGGGAGAAGUUUUACAGUUUAGGACCAAUCCCGCCAUGAACAAGGGAACAGCCGUAUUUGUUGGUGGAUACUGGAGAAAAGGAAAAUGUAUAAAUAUCAUCAAUAAUAUGUCAAGAGGAAAAUUGUUUGUAAUAGAAGAUGACAACAC